rnacentral:rRNA from 1 species
AUGUACGCUGGCGGCGUGCCUAAUAUAUGCAAGUCGAGCGAACGGACGAGAAGCUUGCUUCUCUGAUGUUAGCGGCGGACGGGUGAGUAACACGUGGAUAACCUACCUAUAAGACUGGGAUAACUUCGGGAAACCGGAGCUAAUACCGGAUGAUAUUUUGAACCGCAUGGUUCAAAAGUGAAAGACGGUCUUGCUGUCACUUAUAGAUGGAUCCGCGCUGCAUUAGCUAGUUGGUAAGGUAACGGCUUACCAAGGCAACGAUGCAUAGCCGACCUGAGAGGGUGAUCGGCCACACUGGAACUGAGACACGGUCCAGACUCCUACGGGAGGCAGCAGUAGGGAAUCUUCCGCAAUGGGCGAAAGCCUGACGGAGCAACGCCGCGUGAGUGAUGAAGGUCUUCGGAUCGUAAAACUCUGUUAUUAGGGAAGAACAUAUGUGUAAGUAACUGUGCACAUCUUGACGGUACCUAAUCAGAAAGCCACGGCUAACUACGUG